AGACAUACAGGUCGAGCAAGGAUGAAAAUCGGACUUAGUGAUCCGGUGGUUCUGCGUGGAAGGGCCAUCGCUCAACGGAUAAAAGCUACCCUGGGGAUAACAGGCUUAUCUCCCCCAAGAGUCCACAUCGACGGGGAGGUUUGGCACCUCGAUGUCGGCUCAUCACAUCCUGGGGCUGUAGUAGGUCCCAAGGGUUGGGCUGUUCGCCCAUUAAAGUGGUACGCGAGCUGGGUUCAGAACGUCGUGGGACAGUUCGGUCCCUAUCCGUCGCAGGCGUAGGAAAUUUGAGAAGACCUGUCCUUAGUACGAGAGGACCGGGAUGGACGUACCUCUGGUGUACCAGUUGUUCUGCCAAGGGCAUGGCUGGGUAGCUA
rnacentral:rRNA from 1 species